GUUACUUCGGUACAUCGGUGACAGGUGGUGCAUGGUUGUCGUCAGCUCGUGUCGUGAGAUGUUGGGUUAAGUCCCGCAACGAGCGCAACCCCUAUUGUUAGUUGCCAUCAUUCAGUUGGGCACUCUAGCGAGACUGCCGGUAAUAACCGGAGGAAGGUGGGAUGACGUCAAAUCAUCAUGCCCCUUAUGACCUGGGCUACACACGUGCUACAAUGGUUGGUACAACGAGUUGCGAGUCGGUGACGGCGAGCUAAUCUCUUAAAGCCAAUCUCAGUUCGGAUUGUAGGCUGCAACUCGCCUACAUGAAGUCGGAAUCGCUAGUAAUCGCGGAUCAGCACGCCGCGGUGAAUACGUUCCCGGGCCUU
rnacentral:rRNA from 1 species